rnacentral:lncRNA from 1 species
ACUCUUGGUUCCCCUGCUUCAGGGCUCUUCUGCUGCGAGGUGACAGGGGACGGAGAAAUGGGCCUGCGAAGUCUUGUCGUCCUGUUACCCACCCCAGCACAUUGCGGGCUCCCCCGCUAGCCGGAGGAGUUCGUAGGACGUGGCAGUUUCAGCUGAAGCUGAGCACUAAGGAGGUUUCCUCGGGGAUGCGAGUGUAGUCUGCCGCUCCAGCUGCUCUUGGGCCUGUCACCUCCACUCAGUGAUGAAGGUGUAGAGAAAAGGUGAAAAUGCCAUGGCGACAGCAUGCUAGCCAAACACAGGGAGGAGUCAGAGUUGAAAUUCACUUCUAGAGAAGUAUUCGUUUCCUGCCUCGGAUUUGUGCGAACAUUGAUGAAAAGCCAAUCACAUCGUGAGGAUGGUGAUUAACAUAACGCUGCCUAAUGAAUUAAUUCCGCCAGUGCAUCCGAAGCUGCCAAGUGGGGUUGAAUCCCGGGUAAUGUUUGCAGCCACAAAAUGGAAGCAGCCUGGGACCCUGAAAAGAAUCUCCCAGCACACACAAGACCAUAAUUCACAAGCACAACAGUGGAGUUGCUACGGAGACGUGAUGAGCACAGCAGAAGGAAUUCUGGGACUGCUUCACAGGAACGUGAAGUGUGUGAAGCCAGCCCUCACAGCGGCUUUAAAUAAAGGCUGCUGGAAGUGA